rnacentral:rRNA from 1 species
ACGAACGCUGGCGGCGUGCCUAAUCCAUGCAAGUUGAGCGCUGAAGGUUGGUACUUGUACCAACUGGAUGAGCAGCGAACGGGUGAGUAACGCGUGGGGAAUCUGCCUUUGAGCGGGGGACAACAUUUGGAAACGAAUGCUAAUACCGCAUAAAAACUUUAAACACAAGUUUUAAGUUUGAAAGAUGCAAUUGCAUCACUCAAAGAUGAUCCCGCGUUGUAUUAGCUAGUUGGUGAGGUAAAGGCUCACCAAGGCGAUGAUACAUAGCCGACCUGAGAGGGUGAUCGGCCACAUUGGGACUGAGACACGGCCCAAACUCCUACGGGAGGCAGCAGUAGGGAAUCUUCGGCAAUGGACGAAAGUCUGACCGAGCAACGCCGCGUGAGUGAAGAAGGUUUUCGGAUUGUAAAACUCUGUUGGUAGAGAAGAACGUUGGUGAGAGUGGAAAGCUCAUCAAGUGACGGUAACUACCCAGAAAGGGACGGCUAACUACGUG